CCUACGGGAGGCAGCAGUGGGGGAUAUUGCACAAUGGGGGGAACCCUGAUGCAGCGACGCCGCGUGGGUGAAGAAGCGCCUCGGCGCGUAAAGCCCUGUCAGCAGGGAAGAAAAUGACGGUACCUGAAGAAGAAGCCCCGGCUAACUACGUGCCAGCAGCCGCGGUAAUACGUCGGGGGCACGCGUUAUCCGGAUGUACUGGGUGUAAGGGGGGCGCAGACGGCGAUGCAAGCCAGGAGUGAAAGCCCGGGGCCCAACCCCGGGACUGCUCUUGGAACUGCGUGGCUGGAGUGCAGGAGGGGCAGGCGGAAUUCGUGGUGUAGCGGUGAAAUGCGUAGAUAUCAGGAGGAACACCGGUGGCGAAGGCAGCCUGCUGGACUGCAACUGACGUUGAGGCCCGAAAGCGUGGGGAGCAAACAGGAUUAGAUACCCCUGUAGUC
rnacentral:rRNA from 1 species